rnacentral:rRNA from 1 species
UAAUGAGGGGAGGAAAAGAAACUAACUAGGAUUCCCUUAGUAGCGGCGAGCGAAACGGGAAGAGCCCAGCACGUAGACCGACAACUGUAAUGGUUGUUUGGUGAUGCCGUGUGUAGGAGCAUCUAUUAUCUUGUGUCAAAACAGUAUGUUCAAGUCCAUCUUGAAUGAGGCCAUGUACCCAGAGAGGGUGCUAGGCCCGUAGUGACUGCUGUUGAUGCAAGAAGGUGUCUCCUAGGAGUCGUGUUGCUUGAUAGUGCAGCACUAAGAGGGAGGUAAACUUCUUCUAAGGCUAAAUAUUACCAUGAGACCGAUAGCGAACAAGUACCGUGAGGGAAAGUUGAAAAGCACUCUGAAUAGAGAGUCAAAAAGUACGUGAAACCGUUUAAGGGUUUAAACCUGAUGAACCUAAAUAUCUGAAUGAGGAAAUUCAGCAUUAUUAUAUCAGAUGAUGGUAUAAUGGUGUGCACUUUUCUUCUAGUAAGACGUUGCGAUCCAUUAGAAAAACAAUAUAAAAUCUGUAUAUAGGCCCAGGUAGGAGUUUGUACAUUAAGCGAGUAACAUGACUUUGUUGUUAUGUGAAUGCGUGCAAACUACUUGGUGUUCUUACAGAUGUCUGAUGGUAUUAUGAAUAAAUGUCGCAUACAAUUCCCUGUGAAUUGAUAUCUCUUGUGGAUAUGAUGCGUACAUUAUCAGCAACGUUUUAGA